rnacentral:lncRNA from 1 species
CUCAAAUGUGCUAAUGUUGGAUUCUUUUGCCUUAUACCUCGUUCAUAUUGCUGUGGUUGUUAAUGGGUAUUUUUUAUCGUGUGCUUGUCUGGGGAAUUUGGCCACUUUAGUAUAUGCAAUGCAAUGCAACCUGUGUUGGUCAUACUUGCUUCUAUGAUGAUGUGAUUGGGAAAAUUUAGUUAUGAUUCUUUUUGGUCAUGACAAUUCUGAUUGGCUUUUGGGUUUUGAGACCAUCUUUGGAGCAUUUACUUGCUGUCUGUGGCAUGGAUUAGGAAAAGAUGGGGAGGGUAUUUUAGGAAAUCAAUUCAAUUGUGUGCAAGUGUGUGUGGAUUUGCAAAUUAUUUAGGGAAUGUUUUUUUCCAUGUAAAAUAGCUAUAGUAAUUUCCACUUUGUUAAACUUUAUUUUGUCUGCGUUCACUUCUACGUUGCUUUUCUUUUCUCUUACUUUAUUCUUCUGUAUUUUACUACCAAAUCAGUCUUUUAUUCUCACAUAUCAAUUAUAUAAUAUAAUUCUGAUACAGACCAACACAGAAAAUAAGAGAAAGGAGGUAAACGUGGUAUAUUAUUGAUACUGAAAAAGGGAAAAUACAAUAGGAGGCUACUGUCCAGAGCUAUGCUCCUAUAGAGAAUUAGCAUUCUCCAUUCUGCAAAACUGCAAUAUUCUUUUCUCCCCCCAUUCUCAUGCUAGGCUGUGCCUAUAAGGGUACACGCCUCACACACCCACAAACCCGUAACUAACUAUCACCCAACCUUUUCUUUCUCUCUCUCUCUGCCACCUCAUCAUGCUCUGUUAGCCUUUUCAAUUCUGUUUCUCCUAGUGUACACACGCCAUAUUCUAGGCCUAUGUAAACCUGGAUCAGCUUGAACAUUCUUUUGGGCCCAUGAAUCAUUUUGGGUUCUAUCAAAUUCUCUAUCAUAUGCAAACAGAAUGAGGUUUGGAGAGGUAUGUGGGCAUCUAAAAUAAGGUGUAUUUGGGAACAAAGAAACUGUGUUGUCUUUAAGCAAGGUGUAGCUGAUUCAGAGAAAAUCUUUCAUUUGGCACAACUUAUAAUGUGGUUAUGGGUGAAACAUAGCGUGCAAUCAUUCAACUAUUCUUUUUUGGAUUGGGUGUUAAAUCCUAUUCUUUGUAUCAAACGGUGUGGAUGUGGACGUCUGGAAGCUAGGGGUCUAAUGCUAGGUGCACAAAGUUCAUUUGGAUGGAGCAUACCAUUUGCAUCUGGUAGUGCAAUUUGUGCAGCAUCCUGUGGCAAUGAGCUGCUGGUAGUGUUACUAGUUUUUGAUAAUGGUUGUUUCCAAGGUAGUGGUACUAGUUUUUGGGAAGAUCUUCAUAGCUAUGGUUUUUUACAAUUUAAAAUACACCUGGUGAAGUAAUAGAAGUGGUGUAAGGAGGCAGCUUGUAUAGGAAUUGAAUUGGUAUGUACAAGGACUAGUGCUCUUGAAGUUGUAGGAGGUAAAACAAAAUUGGGAAUGCUGGUUUGGUGUGGAUGACGGUUUGGGAUGGUAUGCAGGAGAUAAACCAGCAUCGUAUGAUAUGAUGACUAGGUGAGAUUGUUGGUUUGAUGUGGAAGCUGGUGUUGAAUGCUGGAUGCUGGUUUGUAGGUUAAAGGUGCUCUAAGGCCAAAAACUUCGUUUUACAAGCAAUGCUUAAGCCAAUGCAGGGGAAUUUAACAACUCCUAUGAAGCCCAACUAUACCAGAAGCAUACAAAGUAGAUGCAAGUGCAACCUAACUUUUUUGUUUGCUGAAUUUUAGCAAGAAGAAGAUGAUCAUGUUGGCAGUUAUGGCAGCAGUUUUUGAAGUCUAAAUUGUGUAACUAUACAGGUGAUUAAUGGCCAAAGGAACUGUUAGGAAAGAGAGAUGCAGAUUCGCUAGAAUAUGUGGCAUAAAUUAUAUGGGAACAUCAAAUAUGUUUUCAGCACUCACAAUCACAUAUUGAUGAGUCUAGUUUUCAGUCACCUUCAUGUUUCAUAAGUUGAUCAUCAUCAUCACAUGCCAUUACAACUUUAAUAUGUUUUCAUCGCAACCACAACAUCUUUUAGACACAUCAAAUAAUUUUGCGACAUAUACCACAACCAUCCACAUACAAUCCACUAUUUUGUUGGAAUCACGACUUAAGUACCCUUUUUUUUUAACUCAUUUUGAUAAAUCUAAAAUAAAAUCAUACCAUUUACUUCAAAAAAAAACGAUCCAACAUUGUAUACUAACAAAAAGGAAACACAACUUUAUUUUCCUUCUUCCAAGAUUUACAUGUCUUGAGUUGAAUAACUCUUACCAUCUUUUUUUAAUCAACAUAACAUUGUUUUCAUAAAUAUUACCAUUACCGUUUCCCCGGAACCAUCCACCAUUGGAUACCCCUCUUGCAUAUUUGGGGGUGGCACGAGGUACUGGUAUGGAAACACUAUCACUGUCUUCACUGUCAGACUGCCAAAACACUUUACCCUUCCGUUUAUGAUCGCAAUGAGGGCACAUGGUAGGCUUUCAAGUCCCAGUUUUAUAGACUUGAUCAAACAUAUAAAGUAAUGCAGAGACAGGAUACUGCUCAGGGCCCUCCACUGUUGUAUCAAUUUUUCCAUUGAAUAAUCUACACUUUGCCACCAGAGAAAGCCCAAUAUCUGUUCCAGUUGAUCUGUCAAAACUUGUUCCGCUGCUCUUGACAAAGUAGUGCGCCACAGUCACCACCGAGGACCCCACCUCCCUCUCUUUUUCUUUGACUCCUUAACAAGAAGACCGCUUCUGCCUCCACUCCCAUACAACUGAACUUCUGUAUCCACAACACCACCCCAUGCAUCAAAACUCUCGUUAUUCUUUGCCCAUGUUUUGAAAUCAGGUAUCAACAACCUGAAACUCUUCAUCCAAAUAUAAUUGGUCUCAUCGAACCCAAUAGAAUACCACGAAUAGAAAUCAAAAGAUAUACGGUCUUGGACGAAAAAUCGUAUUUCUUUGGCCUUGCUAUGUUGAUCAACACCAUAUCUUGUGAAGGAUACCUCACAAGUUUCCUUAUCUACUGUGUAUACCACCUUAAAGGUCUCCUUCACCGCAUCGUCUUUCUCAAAAUCUUUGGACAAGUCGAUGGAAGUGGAUGGUCCCAGCUGUAGAUGGCAGGGAAUUGGAGCAGAUCCAAUAUAAUUAUCGAGAACAACAUCAAGACUGCUUCCCAUCUUGUUAUUUUAUAGGAAAUAGAAUGGAAGGAAUGGAAUGGAUUAGUAGUUUAAGGGUUGAUACUUGAAUGGAAGGAUGUUCACAUGCCAAUGUUAUAUAUAGAGAUGCACACAUUACAUUACAGUAUAAUCUUUGCCCUAGUAAGCGUUAUUCUUACGCACAUUCAUUCUUUCAAUCACAGUCACUGUGGCAUCUAAUUCUCCAUCAUGCAUUACCUUUUACUGUUAAAUAUUCUCCAAUCUUCAACCUCUUUGAUUCUUCAUUCUUCCACUAAUUCAAUUCUUUUCUCAGUGCGGCUCACAACGGGUGUUUGUUUUUUAUGAACCUGUUACAGUUUCAAAACCAUUUUGUAGAUCACUUCAAUAUUUCUGCACAAAACAAUAACUAUGUAAAUGCUACAGCUAAUAGAUAAACAUGCCUCAUAAUUACAGUAAGGGAUGAACUUUUUUAAUAACCAUGAUUAUAUAUUUUAUUACUAGACUAUUAUUUAUGAACUUUAUUGUCUUUUUUUGUGGCUUGUGGCGUGCAGGUGGAGCUUGAACAGUACCCAACGGCACCCCGUAUUGCUUCUCGAAUGCUUUUCACCGUGUUCCCUCAUUCCCUAUAUUCACCAUCUUUUUUUAUUUCACUCUUACUCCUCAAAUGUGCUAAAGUUGGAUUCUUUUGACUUAUACCACGUUCAUAUUGCUGUGGUUGUUAAUGGGUAUUUUUUAUCGUGUGCUUGUCUGGGGAAUUUGGCCACUUUAGUAUAUGCAAUGCAAUGCAACCUGUGUUGGUCAUACUUGCUUCUAUGAUGAUGUGAUUGGGAACAUCUAGUUAUGAUUAUUUUUGGUCAUGACAAUUCUGAUUGGCUUUUGGGUUUUGAGACCAUCUUUGGAGCAUUUACUUGCUGUUCUGUGGCAUGGAUUAGGAAAAGAUGGGGAGGGUAUUUUAGGAAAUCAAUUCAAUUGUGUGCAAGUGUGUGUGGAUUUGCAAAUUAUUUAGGGAAUGUUUUUUUCCAUUUAAAAUAGCUAUAGUAAUUUCCACUUUGCUAAAGUUUAUUUUGUCUGUGUUCACUUCUACGUUGCUUUUCUUUUCUCUUACUUUAUUCUUCUAUAUUUUACUACCAAAUCAAUCUUUUAUUCUCACAUAUCAGUUAUAUAAUAUAAUUCUCUAUCAUAUGCCCAGUGUUAUUCUUGGUCAGAUUAUUUCAAUUACAUGGCACCUAAUUCUCUAUCAUAUUUUCUACUCCACUUUCAUAUUUCUCUUCUCCACUUGUUAAUUCCUUAUUUUUCCAUUGAUUCGUCUAAAUGCAUAUCCAACUUUUGCGAAGCAGACUAUGAAAAUCAUGAGAAACAAGCGUUGGUAUUCUCUACACUAAUUUCCAUUUAACUAUAAACUCAUAGAUAUGAGGUUCUAUGAACUUUUUUUUACCAGUAAGAACUAAAUUAAAGAAAACACUAAAAGGUGAUUCAUGAAAAAAAAAACAGACACUUACUCACACUUGAAUUUCUCUAAAAGAAACACUCUUCUUUGAAAUUCUUCUUUGUUGUAUUUCUUUUCUGUGGUGUAUCUUACAAUUGAGAGAGCAUCCUUUUUAUAGGCUUUAGGAAGCUCUUCUAGAAAAGUCUUCAUUAUGGCCUUAAAACCCCACUAACAACACAAUUAAAAUCCCACUCACAACUUUUGACCUUUUACAUAUCCAAACUCCCAUUCUACUCUUUUCUAGUAACUUCUAACUUUAAAACCCACAAAUUACAUUAAAGUUUAUUCAACAAAACUCCCCCAUAAACUUAAAUGUUUCUACCAUCCAUCAUGCCAAUCAUCUUUUUGAAUUUGUCGAAAAAGACUUUCGGUAGCGGUUUUGUGAAGAUAUCAGCAACUUGAUCUUGACUUGCCACAUGCACCAAUUCCACACUUCCUUUCUUCACAUGAUCACGAAUAAAGUGAAAACGAACGUCAAUAUGUUUGCUUCUUUCAUGGUUCAUUGGGUUCUUUGCCAACUCAAUUGCUGAUUUGUUGUCAACUUGAAUCACAGUUGCAUCUAGUUGCUUUAGCUCCAUCUUCCUAACAAGUUUCUUAGCCAUAUCGCAUGACAUACACACCAAGAUGCUGCCACAUAUUCAGCUUCACACGUCGAUAGCGUCACGAUCGGUUGCUUCUUUGAAAGCCAAGAAAAUGUUGUGUUGCCCAUAAAGAAUACAUAUCCCGAUGUACUUUUUCGAUCAUCUAUGUCUCCUCACCAAUCGCUGUCAGAGUAACCCACCAACUUGUAAUCUUCUGCUUUUGAGUAGAACAAUCCGAGUGAUACAGUACCUUGGAUGUACCGUAGGACUCGCUUUAACGCCUUCCAAUGUGAGUAAACCGGUUCCUCCAUGAAUCGACUUAUGAUGCCGACACUUAAUGAAAGAUCCGGCCUUGUGCAUGUGAGAUAACGAAGGCUUCCUACCAAACUCCGGUAUCUACUUGCAUCGACACGUUCUCCUCCAUCGAACUUUGAGAGUUUUGCACCUGGUUCUAUUGGUAUUGAUACUGGGUUGCAAUUUUCCAUCUUGUACUUCUUCAAAAUCUCCUUUGCAUAUUUCUCCUGUGAUACAAAAAUACCUGUCUCUUUUUGUCUAACUUCCAAGCCAAGGAAAAACUUCAUCAAUCCCAAAUCUGUCAUCUCGAAUUCUCGUCUCAUUGUGUCCUUAAACUCUUCUAUCAUCUCAUUAUUGUUACCCAUAAAAAUGAGAUCAUCAACAUAAAGAGCAACAAAUAUCAUGUUACCUCCACUGUUCUUUGCGUAAAGAGCAUGCUCGUAAGGACUUUGCUUGAACCCGUUCUCCUUGAAGUAUGUAUCGAUACGAGUAUUCCAUGCCCGCGGUGCUUGCUUCAACCCGUAAAGGGCCUUCUUCAAUUUUAGCACCUUCUUCUCCUCUCCGAUUUUCAUGUACCCAGGUGGUUGUUCGAUGUAGACUUCUUCUUCAAGCACACCAUUCAAGAAUGCCGACUUGACAUCCAUUUGAAAUAUCGGCCAUUUAAAUUGAGCCGUUUGGGAAAUGAGCAAUCGAAUUGUCUCCAUUCUUACAACGGGAGCAAACACCUCAUCGUAGNNNNNNNNNNNNNNNNNNNNNNNNNNNNNNNNNNNNNNNNNNNNNNNNNNNNNNNNNNNNNNNNNNNNNNNNNNNNNNNNNNNNNNNNNNNNNNNNNNNNNNNNNNNNNNNNNNNNNNNNNNNNNNNNNNNNNNNNNNNNNNNNNNNNNNNNNNNNNNNNNNNCUUUAAUCUCCUCAUCCAUGGCAGUUUGCCACUUCUUGUCUCGCACCGCCUCUUCAAAGCUGAUAUUUUCAGCAUCUGCCAAAAGACAUACUAGGUGUACCUCAUUUGUCGAAUCGUACAAAUCAUGCAAACUUCGAAUUUUAGGUUGUCGUGGUUCAUCUUCAUCAUCGGUUGUUUCGGAAUUUAUACUUGUCGGUGAUGAUUCUCCAACUUCAAUCAUAACCUCUGAAGAAUUGUUCCAAUCCCACUCGCUUGCUUCAUUUAUUUGCACAUCACGACUCACCAUCACCUUCUUGCUUAUCGGGUCAAGGAGCUUGUAUCCUUUUGUCUUCUCAUCAUACCCAAUAAAAACAUACCUUUUGCUUUUGUCUUCGAGCUUCGUUCUUCGUUGAUCUGGUACGUGUGCAUAAGCCACACUACCAAACACUUUGAGAUGAGAAACUGUUGGCUUUUGUCCGCUCCAUGCCUCUUGUGGUGUUUGAUCAUCUAACUUCACAUGUGGACAUCGAUUUUGCACAUAGAUGGCGCAUUGCACAGCUUCCGCCCAAAAUUCCUUUGGCAUCUUUUUGCUCUUAAGCAUUGAUCGAACCAUGUCGAGAAUGGUCUGAUUCUUCCUCUCGGCCACACCAUUUUGUUGAGGAGUGUAUGGUGCAGUUAGAAAUCACCUUAUGCCUUGCUCCUCGCAAUACUCCAUGAAAGUCGUUGAAGUAUACUCGCCACCUCUAUCAGAUCGUACAGCUUUGAUCUGUUUAUCAGUUGUCCUCUCCACCAUCACCUUGAACUUUUUGAACACCUCAAAUGCCUCGGAUUUUUCNNNNNNNNNNNNNNNNNNNNNNNNNNNNNNNNNNNNNNNNNNNNNNNNNNNNNNNNNNNNNNNNNNNNNNNNNNNNNNNNNNNNNNNNNNNNNNNNNNNNUUCAGAAAGUAAACCCAAGUUUUUCGUGAGAAAUCAUCAAUGAAGGUAAUGAAAUACCUUUUACCGCUGAAGGAAACUGGAGUAAUUGGUCCACAUAUGUCGGUAUGAAUCAAUUCGAGAGGUUGCUUAGCCCAAUAUUGAGCCUUCUUUGGAAACGAGGUUCUCACAUGCUUGCUGAGCACACAUUCUUCACAAAAUUUUCCCUCGUAGUCCAUGUUGGGUAGCCCGUGCACCAUAUUCUUCUUCUCUAACUCUUUUAGUCCACCAUGAUGUAGGUGACCAAAACGGAGAUGCCACAACGAUGCCUUAUCUUCUAUGUUGACUUGCAAACAUUUUUCUCGUAUGCUUCUCAAAUUUAGCUUGUACAUCCGAUUUCUUGCCAUCUCAAUUCGAGCAACCAAACGCCCUUGCUUGUUCUUCAAGUGUAGGAGUCGAUCUUUCAAAAAUAUCGAGUAACCUUUCUCCGUGAGUUGCCCCAUACUCAAAAUGUUGGUCUUGAGGUCUGGUACGUAAUAAACNNNNNNNNNNNNNNNNNNNNNNNNNNNNNNNNNNNNNNNNNNNNNNNNNNNNNNNNNNNNNNNNNNNNNNNNNNNNNNNNNNNNNNNNNNNNNNNNNNNNNNNNNNNNNNNNNNNNNNNNNNNNNNNNNNNNNNNNNNNNCGCACAUAUGGUUGCUUGCUCCAGAGUCGAGGUACCACAGAGUGUCAUUGUUAAUGUUGACUUCAUCUUGAGCCAUCAAGAGAACACCUUCAUUCGUUUCGACUUCCAAGGCUAGGUUGGUUGUUUCUUCUAUCUUUGUAUCAGCACGACAAUCUUUUGCAAAAUGCCCCACUUUACCACAAUUGUAACAUUUGUCAAAGUUACAAUCCUUCGCAUAGUGACCAUAUUUGUGACAUUUGUAGCACUCGAUGUUGGGAUAAUUCGAUCGGCCGCCUCUUCCUCUACCACGUCCUCUUCCACGCCAAUUUGGUUGGCUCGACUGUUCCUUCUCCUUAUAGUACCUUUUCCACCACGACCGUUUCCACGACUUCCACGACCACGCCCUCUAUAUUGAGAAUUUUGAUGAUAGAGUACCUUUUCGUCUUUGAUUAAUGCCUUGGUUUGAAGUGCUUGCUCGAGUGUUUCCUCCUUCUUCUUCUUCUUUUGAUGCUCGUGUGCCUCGAGAGAACCGGCGAGCUCGUCGACUGUGAGCGUCGCAAGGUCCUUUGACUCUUCUAUCGCGCACACAAUACUCUCAAAAUUGUCUGUUAAUGUUCUCAAAAUCUUCUCCACAACUCGUGCAUCGGUUAGAGUUUCACCGUUUCGGNNNNNNNNNNNNNNNNNNNNNNNNNNNNNNNNNNNNNNNNNNNNNNNNNNNNNNNNNNNNNNNNNNNNNNNNNNNNNNNNNNNNNNNNNNNNNNNNNNNNCCAUCAUCUUCAUGUUCUCCAACUCGCCACGCAGAGUUUGUAGACGCACUUGCUUAACUCGGUCAGCUCCUUUGAACACCUUCUCCAAUAUGUCCCAUGCUUCCUUUGAAGUGGAUGCACCAGCAAUCUUCUCAAAAAUUGCCUCAUCAACAGCUCUAUACAACAUGUACAAAGCUGCCUUAUCUUUCGAUCGCAUCUCUUUCAAUGCCUUGGUUUGAGCUGCCGUAUAACCCGUGGUAUUGGUAGGUUCUUCAAAACCUUCUUCGACCACCUCCCAUGAAUCCUGAGAACCGAGAAGAGCUUUCAUUUGAAUGCUUCAGUUGUCAUAUCUGGUCGCCUUCGUUAACCGUGGUAGCGGUAUUUGACCCGUCACAUUCGCCAUUGGCUCUUGAUACCAAAUUGAAAAAAAACAGACACUCACUCACACUUGAAUUUCUCUAAAAGAAACACUCUUCUUUGAAAUUCUUCUUUGUUGUAUUUCUUUUCUGUGGUGUUGUGAGAGCAUCCUUUUUAUAGGCUUUAGGAAGCUCUUCUAGAAAAGUCUUCAUUAUGGCCUUAAAACCCCACUAACAACACAAUUAAAAUCCCACUCACAACUUUUGACCUUUUACAUAUCCAAACUCUCAUUCUACUCUUUUCUAGUAACUUCUAACUUUAAAACCCACAAAUUACAUUAAAGUUUAUUCAACAAUUCAAACCUUAUAAAAAAAAAGUUUCUAGCAAAACCUACACAUCAAAACUGCAACCAAAAAGGAGUAAAACAGAAUGGUACAUCUGUUAUUGAGAAAGAGAACAUAAAAGCAUAAGCACUGUAGUAGGAUAUAAAGCCACAUUACAUCUUUGGUUCUUCAUUACACAAACAGCUAUAAAUUACUGUGAAGUAAAUAAAAUUAAAACGAAAAACAAAAACAAGAACAACUCUAGGAAUUAAGCUGGGAAGAAAAGUUUCCAUUGACUUGUCAAAAAGAAGAUUUAGGGAAUUCCUCAAUGGAUUGCGGAGUGAGGAGUGGACCAUGUGGUACGCUGUAGAUGUUUGAAGUUGUAAACUCACUUUAAGGAAAGAUGAAGGUGGCAACGGUUUACUCAUAAAAAUCCACAGCAUAAUCCCAGGCAUAACUGGAGAUUUUUCAGUAUACCGUUUUGAUAUGGAUCUAACUGAAUCAGAUUCUCGGGUACAAUCCACCUGGUCGAUCGAUAUCAAUGGAGCCGAGGCAUCGUCAGCGUUUGAUUAUGGCAAGCAGAUUCAUGCAGGAGGCAGCGUUACGAACACACAGUUUAUUUUGUGCGGGACUGGAGACAUAGGAAGUUUUAUUGUUCUGGAACAGAAGAAGAAGAAGGAGGAAGAAGAACGACCUUAUGCAGUGACUCUGGCACACUAUUUUGCUUCCAGUGGCCGUAUUAAUGAUUAUUCUAGAAAGAAAAUAGAUGUUGGUCUUUCUGUAGUGGUAAAGAUUCGAGCAAUCAAUGGCAGUUUGGAUGUAACGGUGGAAGGCACUGACAAACACCCUGCUUUUGGAUUACGUUACUUGUUUGAGGAAGCCAUGAGAAGCAAGAUUUGGAAGCCUACUUUAUGCCCACACUGUGCCAAUAUCCAGAAGCAAAGCAGCAUGAUGACUUCGCAGUCUGACAGUGAUGACAGGGAGAGUGUUCCUGUGGCACGCCGUCAUGGUGAAAACCAGCUUAAUUUAAAAGCUGUUGCCAAUAGUAAUUACACUGAAAAUAAAAAUAAAUAUAUGUUCUUUUGAAAGUGAUGGUGGUAACUGAUGUACCAAAUUUGCUUAGUUUUAGUAUGAAGUAACGUAAUUGGCACUAUGGCAUGAAUAAGCCACCAUCAUGUGAAGAAAAUAAGCCUAGAGGUGUUCUUGUAAAAAAGAAGAUUUAGGGAAGAAAAGAUUCCCUGUUAAUUCAAUUAAUUCUUUGCUGAUAAAAAAGAAAUAUCUAAUCAUGAGCAAACCUGUUAUUCCCUAAUUUCCCUCAUUUCUUUUGAACUCACCCAAAAGUUUUUACCCUUGCACCUUUAACUACUUUUGUUUUUAAUAGAUCUCAUACACACCAUUGGUUCCAUGCACCAAUCAGAGUAAGAAAAACAUGCUAUGCGUAUCUUUGAUGUGACCCAUGACCAAAUUUUCAACUACGCCAUCGUGAAGAUUUCUAUGUGGUUUAUGCAUCCGUUUUUAAACAUCUUCUUGUUUCUUUGUUUUCACACUUCGCCUAUUACUUCUAUACACACACAUUCAAAUUUGAUUGACAGUUUCGCUUUCCUUAAACAACUUGAACAGAAGUGCAUUUUUGGAUCUUGGUGAACCGUCAACGCCAUACCCACCCACUCGUAGCACUUAGACCAGACAAGUCAAGUUAUCUGACAUGUGCAGAAUAGAUGUGACGUUGUUUCCGCCGCCCCCUCUCCACACAUAACACAACUGAUAUUUUCCACGUCUAUCUCCCUUUUCACCAAAUUGGCCUUAAACGACUAUGCCUUAAGUCUCCAAAAACCCCUCAUACAUUGUGGCGUCUUGAACCUGAUCUUCACCUUUUAAAACUCUGUAAGCGGUUUGUAGUGUAAACUUUGUAGUGUCGCAAUCUUUCCAAACCUACAUAUCUUCCUUUUCUUCGGUUAAACUCUUCCUAUCCAACAACGUUAUCAUUUGUUGCUCCUGCUGCUUUUAUGAUCUAUGCAUAACCGCACAUCAUAUAUCAUAUAUAAGAACCAAUUUGCUUUGCACCAAUCUAGUAAUUUUUAUUCGAGAUUAUUUUUUUUGGGUACAUACAAUAUAAUAAAUUUACACUAUGAGAAACAUUGACCAAGUGCUAGUAUAUACAAUGAGAAAAUGGUUUCUUUUAAUAGUUUAUGUGUUUUUUUCUGCAACUAAAUAUUUGAUAUUUUUAGAAAAAAAGUUAGAAUCGUUAGGAAAUUGGUCGUAAACCAACGUCUCAAUGUUUUAAACUGUUAAGAGAAACCAAACAAGAAUAUCAAAUAGAUAAAAAGAAACAAUAAAGUUAAAGAAUCGAAGAAAGUAAGAAUGAGCAACAUAAUGAGUGAAGAAGAUAAACAUGAAAGUGCGCAAUAGAAACACAUGAUAGGGAAUUAGAUGCUGUGAAAUUGAAUUAUUGUGCGGAAGAACAACGCUUGGUUUGCAUAUAAGGUGGAAAGAUUCUAUACUCUACACACUAAAGAGUUCAUAAAUAUCCCCAUUAACAUCCCAACCAAGCAUAUCAGAGAAAACCUACCUCAGUACCCACAUAGAUUAACUGGGAAGUGAGUUCUCCAUACUCUAUCCCAUGCACUAACCCUAAAUAUUUCUAUACCCUUAUCUCUCCAAACUCAUCAUCCCACAGAUACUCCAUUUCCGUUCUUAAUUUGUUGGCUUUAGAUGGGAAACAGUAUUCGCAGAGUUGGUCUUCUGAAUACUGUUGGGGUGGGGGAGGAUCAACCUUUUCACUAUCAGCUGGGAAGAAAAGUUUCCAUUGACUUGUAAAAAGAAGAAAUUAGGGAAUAGCAGGUUUGCUCAUGAUUAGAUAUUUCUUUUUUAUCAGCAAAGAAUUAAUUGAAUUAACAGGGGACCACUUUAGGGGUAUCCCAACCCGUAUACAAAAACCAAGAUCUUGAGCAUAUAAGUGCUUCCUGAUCAUUCCUACAUUCCUAGCAGAAAAGACCAGACUAGCCUAGCUCAAUGAUUAGAGAUUUGUUUUAGUAAGGUGUAUGUUCUCUUGUAUAAUAGUUGAUGUAUCACUGAAAUAUCUCCCAUUUGUAUAUUCUUUUCUUAUCGAUAAAAAAAAAUAGAUAAUAACCUAUCUUAUUUAAUACUAGAUUUAUAUGCUAAAAUAAAGAUCAAUUAUAUAUUUUUUCUUGGAAUAACAUUUAUUAUAAAGUUUUAGAAAAUAUAUGUCGGUCAAGUAGUACUGCUUCACAAAUGUUAAUAAUAUAUAGUUUAGAAAAACUUUACAAAUAACCAAUUCUUCUUCAACACAUUCAAAUAUUAUAAGGUACCCAAAAAAAAAUUAAAAUUGCCAAAUCCAAUUUUUAAUUAUCCAAAUCUAUAUUACUUUUAAUCCAUCUAAAUUCAUAUUUUUGGAUUUUAAGUCCAAUCCAUUUAAUUGGAUAUGAAUUAGAUAUAUAUUGGAUAUAUUUUUGGAUUAUUCAAAAUGGAUUUUAGGUUGGAUUUUGACUUAGACCGGACCUAGGAUGAGUCGAGUCAAUCCGAGCCUAGGACGAGCAAAGUCGGUCCGAGUUGAUCAGGGCCCAAGUCGAUCCCAAUCGAUCCGAGCCAAAGACGAGCCCAAUCGAUUUGUGCCCAAGUCAAGCCUAGUCGGCCAAGGCCGAAUUCGAGCCAACCAAAAGUUGAGUCGAAUCAACCCGGGCUAAAGUCAAGCUGAGUGGGUUAGAGCCUAAGUCGAUUUGGCACCAAGCCCAUGUCGAGCCAAGUUGACCCAAGCCCAUGUUGAGCCAAAUCGACCCAGGCCCAUGUCGAGUCAAGUUGACAUGGGCCCAUGUCAAUCUGAGUCGGCAUGGGCCCAUGUCAACCCGAGUCAACCAAGGCCCAUGUCAACCCGAGUCAACCUAGGCCCAUAACGAGCCUAGUCAACCCGGCCAUGGCGAGCCGAGUCGUCUCGGGCCCAUGGCGAGUCGAGUCGACCCUAGCCCAUGUCAAGCCGAGUCAGCUCAGACCUAUGUCGAGCUGAUUCGGCCCAGGCCCUUGUUGAUCUGAGUCGCCCACGUCCAUGUCCAGCCAACUCGACCAGAGCCCAUGCAAUCUGAGUCAACCCGGGCCAAUGUCGAGCAGAGUCGGCCUAGGCCCAUGUCUGUUCGAGUCGGCUCGAGACCAUGUCGAGCUGAAUGGACCUGGGCCGAUGUUGAGUCGAGUCGGUUUGGGCCCGUGUCGAGCCAAGUCGACCCGGACCCAUGUCGAGUCGAGUCGACCCGAACCCAUGUCGAGUCGAGUCGACCCGAACCCAUGUCGAGUUAAGUCAACCCAUAACCAUGUCAAGCCAAGUCGGUUCGGGUCGAUGUCGAGCUAAGUCGGCUUGGACCCAUAUCAAGCUGAGUACGCCCAAGCCCACGUCCAUCCGAGUUUACCCGCCAUGUCAAGGCGAGUCAGCCCAGGUCCAUAUCCAUCCGAGUCGACCCAGACUCAUGUCAAAUCGACCAAUAUACUUUGACCUUCACCUAAAGCCCAUUCAAAUUUGUCUUCAAAGAUAUUCCCUCGGUCCUCCACACCCCAUAUAUUCUUCAUGUUCCUCUACCAUUGGGAUUCCUUGUGAUUCCUAAUAUUAUUUUUUAAUCUCUCCAUUCGUCGUAUUUUGAAUCUAAAACUUCCUUCUACAGACGUUCCAACUUUUCGUGACAUUGACAAAUCUAUUUUCUUAAUAAGACAUUAUUGAAAAUCCUAAUAUCUUUAACACAUUCCUCUUCUUUCUUCGAAUCACAUACCUCCUCCCAACCAACCCAUGUUUUUCCUUCCAUCCUUUCCAUACCCAAAGAAACUUCUUUUGGACUCUCUUAAUGGUGACAUUUUGAAGAAAGACAUAUUACAAAGGAGCAAAGAGAGUUAAGCAAGUACGUAGUAAGGGAUUAAUUUUUUUAAUAAGUAUAAUUAUAUAUUUUAUUACUCGACUAUUAUUAUAAACUUUAUUGUAUAAUUUUUAACACAUUUAAUAUCACGUUUUUCAAUUUUAUUGAUUAUUUAAAUAACUAAGUGUGUUGUAUGAUAAAAAAAAGACGUAAAAAUGGUUUGUUUUUUAAAAAAAAAUUAUAUAAAAUUAUGUUAUCUUAAAUAUAUGUAUAUAAUAUUUUUUUAUCAACAAAUAAUUAAUUAAUUAAAUAAAGCUUCAUUCAUUAUCAUUCUCCCCAGCCCCAACAGCAGCGAGAAGACCAACUCUGCGAAUACUGUUUCUCAUCUAAAAGGCAACAAAUUAAGAACACAAGAGAGUGUCUGGGAUGAUAAGUUUGGAAAGAUGAUGGUAUAGAAAUAUAUAUAGGAUUAGGUAGGUUUUCUCUGCUAUGCACUUGCUUCGGGUGUUAAUGGGGAAUCAAUGAACUUUUUGCUAGACAAAGUCAUUUUGUCAUGCUCAUGGUAACAAAAAUUCAAAAUCAAUAAUUAAGUGCAAGUUAAAAAAAAAAUAUUUUUUUUAAAAAUGAUACAGAUAAUCACAUAAGUAAACAAGAUACAGACAGAACAACAAAAUUUAUUAUUGCUAAAGAAAACAUAAAGUGCAAGCAACAAGGUUACAAUUGGGUUCUGCAUAAUAUACACAACCACUGGCUAAACAAAAAGCUUAUUUUCUUCUUCCAAGAUUGUCUUGUCACCGUCUUUUUGGGAAAAUCAUAACAUUUUCAAAAAAAUUACCAUUACCGUUUCCCUUGAACCUUCCACCAUUGGAGACCCCUCUUGCACUUUUGGGGGUGGCAACAGGUACUGGUAUGGAAACACUGUCACUGUCUUCACUGUCAGACUGCCAAAACAUUUUACCCCUCCCUUUAUGAUGACAAUGAGGGCACAUGGUAGGCUUCCAAAUCCCAGUUCUACUGACUUCAGCAAACAUGUAAAGUAAUGCAGAAACAGGAUGCUGCUCAGGGCCCUCCACUCUUAUGUCAAAUUUUCCAUUGGAUACUCCAAUCUUUGCCACCACAGAAAAGCCAAUAUCUGUUCCACUUGACAUGUGUAAACUUGUUCCGCUUCUCUUAACAAAGUAGUGAGCCACAGUGGCCACCUCGACCUCUUCCUCCCCUCUCUUUUUCUUUGACUCCUUAACAACAAGACCCCAAUUUCUUCCAUUCUCAUACAACUGAACUUCUGUAUCCACAACACCACCCCAUACAUCUAAACUCUUGUUUGUAUUUGUCGAUACAGUGGCGUAUUCUUUUGUUCUAAAUUUCGAUAACAUCCACCAAAAGAUACUCACUAUCCUAAUAUAUUUGGUCCCAGUGAUUUCCAUAGUAAACUGCGUUUUGAAGUCAGAAGAUGAAAGGUCAUAGACGACAAAGUGUACCUUUUGGGCAUUGCAAUGUUGAUCACCAUAUCUUGUGAAGGAUACCUGACAAGUUUCCUUAUCUACUGUGUAUACCACCUUAAAUGUCUCAUUGACCACUCCCGCAUCGUCUUUCUCACUCAAAUCUCUUGACAAGUCGAUGGAAGUGGAUGCUCCGAGCUGUAGAUGGCAAGGAAUUGGAGCAGUUCCAAUAUAAUUAUCGAGAACAACACGAAGACUGUUUCCCAUCUUGUUAUUUUAUAGGAAAUAGAAUGGAAGGAAUAGAAUGGAUUAGUAGUUUAAGGGUUCAGACUUCAAUGGAAGGAUGUUCACAUGCCAAUGUUAUAUAUAGAGAUGCACACAUUACAUUACAGUAUAAUCUUUGCCCUAGUAAGCGUUAUUCUUACGCACAUUCAUUCUUUCAAUCACAGUCACUGUGGCAUCUAAUUCUCCAUCAUGCAUUACCUUUUACUGUUAAAUAUUCUCCAAUCUUCAACCUCUUUGAUUCUUCAUUCUUCCACUAAUUCAAUUCUUUUCUCAGUGCGGCUCACAACGGGUGUUUGUUUUUUAUGAAUCUGUCACAGUUCCAAAACCAUUUUCUAGAUGACUUCAAUAUUUCUGCACAAAACAAUAACUAUAUAAUUGCUACAGCUAAUAGAUAAACAUGCCUCAUAAUUACAGUAAGGGAUGAACUUUUUUUAAUAACCAUGAUUAUAUAUUUUAUUACUAGACUAUUAUUUUUGUAUGAACUUUAUUGUCUAUUUUUUUAACGUAUUUUAAUAUCAUGUUUUUCAAUUUUUCAAUCUAUUGAUUAUUUAAAUAAGUGCGUUGUGCGAUAAAAAAACACUUCAAAAUGGUUUGAAUAGAAGAAAGAGAAUAAGCCCAAUUGAUUUUUGGCAGCAUGAUUGGGCUGGGCCUUGGAACAGAGAUUGUGGAUCCGUGGAGCAGAGGAUGAUACAAAAUUUAGGCAGAAAAAAUGAAAGCGAAAGUUUGAAUCAAUCGCCGGAGAAGAUGAAGCUGAAGCAGUUGGAAGGCCUUCUUGGUGGUCUCCAGCAGUUCCCUCAACCCAAGGUAAAGCUUUCUCCUUUCUCUCAAACUUUCCCUUAUCUCACUUUCUUCUGUGAAUUGUGAUUAUAACAUUAACAUUGGACACUCACUUCUUCCUUGUUUGUGGUUGUGGCUUGUGGCGUGCAGGUGGAGCUUGAACAGUACCCAACGGGACCCCAUAUUGCUUCUCGAAUGCUUUUCACUGUGUUCCCUCAUUCCCUAUAUUCACCAUCUUUUUUUAUUUCACUCUUACUCUUCAAAUGUGCUAAAGUUGGAUUCUUUUGCUUUAUACCACGUUCAUCUUGCUGUGGUUGUUAAUGGGUACUUCUUUUUUUGUCGUUUGCUUGUUUGGGGAAUUUGGCCACUUUAGUAUAUGCAAUGCAAUGCAACCUGUGUUGGUCAUACUUGCUUCUAUGAUGAUGUGAUUGGGAACAUUUAGUUAUGAUUCUUCUUGGUGACAAUUCUGAUUGGCUUUUGGGUUUUAAGACCAUCUAUGGAGCAUUUAGUUGAUGUUCUGUGGCAUGGAUUAGGGAAAGAUGGGGAGGGUAUUUUAGGAAAUCAAUUCAAUUGUGUGCAAGUGUGUGUGGAUUUGCAAAAUAUUUAGGGAAUGGUUUUUGCCUUGUAAAAUAGUUAUAGUAAUUUCCACUUUGUUAAAGUUUUGUUCCUUUUCUAUUAAUGAGAAUCAGGCAG